rnacentral:lncRNA from 1 species
AUUCUACGGCCCGGCUCUGCUCCUGGCCCAGGCGCCCGUGUCCGGUGCGGUCCCAUACGAGAUGGGUUCUCUGCCUUCGGUGCGUGUCGGCGCCUCUGCCAAGGCGGAGCGGACGGCGAAAGAAAGGCCGAAAGCCAUCGUGACGUCGAGGCACAAGCUCCACUGUCCUAACAGUAGAGGUCGCAUGGAGUUCGUGAGACGGGCAUUAGCUGCCGCUGGAGCUGUACCCAGCCCACCGUAUUUUCACAAAUUAGCCAGACAAUACGCCUUCUCUUCGCAUCACUACUGGUCCGGCUUCCUGUGGAGAUUUUCAGAUACAAGCAAACAAAACAUUGCAUAACUCUGUGUGCAGCCCUUACCCGGAUGUGUGCAGCUUUAGGGUGUGCUUGCAGGAGGAACAGGAUAUCCAAAUGACCUCCUUGGAAAACAAUGGUUAAGGAGCACUGGGACUCUGACAGGACCUGGGUUCUCUCCGACCCCUUUAUUCCCCAUGCCCACUGCCCCACAUGUGUGUACACAUGUGCUUCUGCUUGUGAGCACGCAGGAGUUCAUUGUAGAGGGCAUCUCCCUUACCUGUUGUCUCUCUUUGAUUUAAAAAAAAAAAAUCUAUUCUUACAAACCCCUAUAUAUACAUGUUGCCUGACUUAAAGUCAGGUCUGGGUUACUGCCAUCAGUCCCAAUGUUCACAGAAAUGGGAAACGAGAGGGGUGGACCAGUGGGGACAACCUGUAACUUGGACUUCUUAGAUCACUCCUGUCCCUCCCAAGACACCUAGGACUCAUCGGGUCUAAUUUAGUCUAGGAGGUGUGUUUCUAGAUGCAUCCCUGGAGUACAGUGAAUGCAAGCCAAGAAAUAAUUUUUUCUUCCCAAUUUCAUGGUCUCAUCCUGACCUACAGCAGAUAAGUAAGGAUGAUUCCAUUUCUGUAUUCUCUCGAGCCCAUCCCCCUCUCCCUGCCGUAGAGUCGGGAGUACCCUUUUUUUUUUUUCUUCUCAAGACAGGGUUUCUCUGUAUCACCCUGGCUGUCCUGGAACUCACUCUAAAGUACCCUCUUAAUUAACCAUGCUUAGAGAGGAAUAAAAGGACAAGACCAGAGUUUCAGCUACCUUGGAUUCUGCACCGACUCAGGAUCACAGUCAGUUUGUGUGAGGUCACCAGUUUAUACCAAACAGGUUUCAAGGGGCCACGGACAGAACUGUCUUGGUCAGAAUCAGCUGAGUCUUGCAGACAUGAUUCUACUCCAGACCGUUUUGUCUCUAGAAGAGAAACUUGCAAACAUUCUGCCUUCCUUUUCUUUUCUUUGGGAAAGUAAAUGCUGUGUUAGAAGUUUGGACCAGAAUUCUCGGACUUCACCAUCUAUGGAUGCUUCGCUUUUGAUGUGUUUGCCUGUUUAUAAUCUAUUUUAUUUAUUUUGGAAGAUUUUCAUUAAUAAAAAGUAAUGAAGAC